GUGGGGAAUCUUAGACAAUGGGGGCAACCCUGAUCUAGCCAUGCCGCGUGAGUGAUGAAGGCCUUAGGGUUGUAAAGCUCUUUCAGUGGGGAAGAUAAUGACGGUACCCACAGAAGAAGCCCCGGCUAACUCCGUGCCAGCAGCCGCGGUAAUACGGAGGGGGCUAGCGUUGUUCGGAAUUACUGGGCGUAAAGCGCACGUAGGCGGAUCGGAAAGUUGGGGGUGAAAUCCCAGGGCUCAACCCUGGAACUGCCUUCAAAACUAUCGGUCUGGAGUCCGAGAGAGGUGAGUGGAAGUCCGAGUGUAGAGGUGAAAUUCGUAGAUAUUCGGAGGAACACCAGUGGCGAAGGCGGCUCACUGGCUCGGUACUGACGCUGAGGUGCGAAAGCGUGGGGAGCAAACAGGAUUAGAUACCCUAGUAGUCC
rnacentral:rRNA from 1 species